CGUGUAGGCGGCAGUGCAAGUCGGGUGUGAAAGCCCUCAGCUCAACUGAGGAAGUGCGCCCGAAACUGCAUUGCUUGAGUACCGGAGAGGAUGGUGGAAUUCCCGAAGUAGAGGUGAAAUUCGUAGAUAUCGGGAGGAACACCGGUGGCGAAGGCGACCAUCUGGACGGAUACUGACGCUGAGACGCGAAAGCGUGGGUAGCAAACAGGAUUAGAUACCCUGGUAGUCCACGCCGUAAACGAUGAGAACUAGGUGUUGUGGGUGUUGACCCCCGCGGUGCCGAAGCUAACGCAUUAAGUUCUCCGCCUGGGAAGUACGGCCGCAAGGCUAAA
rnacentral:rRNA from 1 species